UACGUAGGCAGCGAGCGUUUGUUCGGAAUUACUGGGCGUAAAGAGUGUGUAGGCGGUGCUCUAAGUUCGGUGUGAAAUCUCCUGGCUCAACUGGGAGGGUGCGCCGGAAACUGGAGUGCUUGAGCGUGGGAGAGGAAAGCGGAAUUCCUGGUGUAGCGGUGAAAUGCGUAGAUAUCAGGAGGAACACCUGUGGUGUAGACGGCUUUCUGGACCAUAGCUGACGCUGAGACACGAAAAGCGUGGGUAGCAAACAGG
rnacentral:rRNA from 1 species